rnacentral:rRNA from 1 species
AUUGAACGCUGGCGGCAGGCCUAACACAUGCAAGUCGAACGAGUGGCGGACGGGUGAGUAAUGUCUGGGAAACUGCCUGAUGGAGGGGGAUAACUACUGGCAACGGUAGCUAAUACCGCAUACCAUCAGAUGUGCCCAGAUGGGAUUAGCUUGUUGGGGGGGUAACGGCUCACCAGGGCGACGCUCCCUCGCUGGUCUGAGAGGAUGACCAGCCACACUGGAACUGAGACACGGUCCAGACUCCUACGGGAGGCAGCAGUGGGGAAUAUUGCAAAAUGGGCGCAAGCCUGAUGCAGCCAUGCCGCGUGUAUGAAGAAGGCCGGCGGGUUGUAAAGUACUUUCAGCGGGGAGGCGUUACCCGCAGAAGAAGCACCGGCUAACUCCGUGCCAGCAGCCGCGGUAAUAC